rnacentral:tRNA from 1 species
UCCCUGGUGGCUCAGAUGGUAAAGCAUCUGCCUGCAGUGCAGCAGAUCUGGGUUUGAUCCCUGGGUGGGGAA